AUUGAAUAAUGGUGGUGCAGUAUUCUAGUCAGGUGCGGUACAAUCGAAGGCGGGGUUAAAAUACCGCUAAAGAGCAUAUCGAUGAAGUUUCUUGUGUUUGCUUACGUUGCCCAAACGUGGGCUGAUGCUGGAAGUUAAGGUUUUUGGGCGGCCGAUAACGGCAUAUCGGUGACGACCCAAUUACCGUGGAGACCUAUAUCGGUGGCGGGAACGCUGUAAAUGCUGGAACUCUACUGAAUAGGAUUAAACCUGCAAUGCGGUAAUCAAAAGCUGUGUGCAGUGUAGCUUGCCUUGAGUGAAGUCGCGUGAAUUAGGGUAUCGGACCGAGACGGGUUCGCGAUCUGUUUCGGUCUCUGCCUAUGAAACCUUCUUUGCAAAAGAGGAUAAAUUGUACCAAAUCUGUAAAAGAAAUUUUCUAGACUGUUUUAAGCCGAGGAUUAUAGUGUGCACUAAGUGGCGAUUCGGUUAUACCAUGAGUAAUCACGUAUUGUUGCCCUUAAAAGGAAACUGCCCGGACGGCGACGACGGGUGGGCGACAGGGAAAACCUACCGAACCUGAUGGCGCAAGGUUUACUGGGCUUAUUGCCACCAUUAUUCAUUA
rnacentral:sRNA from 1 species